GAUUCGGAGAAUCAUAGCCGGUAUUGGUGUUGAAAUCGUGUUUCCCAUAUACUCUCCCAACAUCAAAGAGAUAAAAGUGAUGAGUCACAGAAAAGUGAGAAGAGCAAGGCUUUACUAUCUGAGGGACAAGCUUCCUCGUCUGUCCACUUUCAAGUGAACACCCAUCAACCGUGCUGUGUUUGACCUCCAGAGGUAGUAGUAAUCUUCCGCUUUGUGCUCUGUUUUUGUAAGAUUUUUUUCUUUCUUCUUGAGCCUGUAAGUCAUUUGCCUGCGCACACUCUUGCGAGAAAGUAAAUCAAAGAUUAGUUGAACUUUCCGUUGAUAAAUGUAGACCUGGUCCUAAUUUGAUGAUGAGUGAUAUAUAUAUUGAUGAUCUUUUAGGA